GGUUCAGUGUGGGCCUUGGCUGCAGCCCUUCCAUCCCCAUGUGGGAAUAGUGUCUUCUCUCUGUCACCUGGAGCCCUUGCCUACACUGUCCCACCGGCUCAGCUCUGAGCUGAUAGCUGGUGCGGGGCAAGGCCCUCUUUCUUGCUGUGGGCCCCUCUGCUGGGGAGCAGGCGCACGGAGAUGCUGGCUGCAUGAGGGACCCUCAAGGCUGCUGGGAAGGAAGGGACAACUGGGGGAGUGCUUGCUGUACAGGGAAGUGAUGGCACUCAGAGGGGAGCCUGGUUCCUCUGCCUGCAGCAACAGCACAGGGCCUUUCUACUCAGUGUCUUGUGUGGAUGGAGGAGGGGCAGAGUCCACCUGACCCCACGCCUAGUCCUGUCCAGCAUGAG
rnacentral:lncRNA from 1 species